rnacentral:rRNA from 1 species
UACGGAGGGGGCUAGCGUUGUUCGGAAUUACUGGGCGUAAAGCGCGCGUAGGCGGACCUGCAAGUCGGGGGUGAAAGCCCGAGGCUCAACCUCGGAACUGCCUUCGAUACUGCGGGUCUCGAGUCCGGGAGAGGUGAGUGGAAUUCCUAGUGUAGAGGUGAAAUUCGUAGUUAUUAGGAAGAACACCAGUGGCGAAGGCGGCUCACUGGCCCGGUACUGACGCUGAGGCGCGAAAGCGUGGGGAGCAAACAGG